GGAUGCCAACCGCAGUUAAACCUCGAAGACGAAGACCACUUAUCGGUUUCCGGUUCACGGAGGACAUACUUCUUUUUCUCCCUCAAAUGCGGAAAGGCCCAUGAAUAGGAGAUUUGAUGUGUAACGUAAUAAGCAAUACCGUAUUUCAAAGAACAGCGCGCAUAGACUUUUUAUUUAUCCGCCAACCAAUAACAUCUGCGUAAACGCAAGUAAACAAUGACCAAUAACAAUUUCCACGUUAGCAUUUUUGUUGAUAUUUAGACUUUUAUUAACAUCCUGGAACUCAAAACUGCACAACAUCACUCCAUGUAGAAUUUAAAUCGCGUUGGAGUCCGAAUUUACUUGAUAGAUGUUAUCUAGGUAACGUUAGCUAACUGUAUGGAUUUUCACACUCAAAUAGCCUCCAUCAUGGAGCUGCUAGCGAAUUCAGCCGUGGCAGAGAUCUGUAAAUUCGUAGACGACAACUAUGCAGUGUUUAGUUUGGAAAUAACUCAAAGCCAGAAAGAAAACAGGGGAUUAUGGAGGAAAUUACAGAUACUGGAACUGGUGGCACGAGAGCGCGUCCUCACCAGUCGUCCCACAAGAUCUUCGACCGAUACAGAGGAAUGGCAAGAGGUGAAGGACAUCUCACUUGAGGCCACAGGGGCUUUGGGAAACCAGCGUGACACAGCUGAGGGGAGUGGAACCUCAACCCAGCAUGUUAUUGUGAUAGAGGGGUGCUUGUGAGACUUCCCAGCGACAUUGUUAUCCAAUUCAAAUCAUGUACAGACUGCAGGUCCUGGGGUCAAGCAGGAGAGGACCUAAGACACAACAGAGACAUCCAGACUAGAGCAGCGGCUGGAGUGAUGCCCCCUGUAGCCAUGGAGGACCUCCCCACCGUCACCAUGCCCCAGACCAGGACCCAACGCAACAUCAGUGACGUCAGUGGAACGCCGAACACCGUCCUCAUGUCAGAGACGUACACCAAGACUUUAACUGUAACACAAAGGCUCUUACACACAGGAUCUUCCCACAGAAUAUUUACAGGUAUUUCAGCAGAGCCAGAGGACGGUUAAUUCCUGUGGGGAUAGUGAUGCAUUAGACAUUGGCGGCCAUUAUCUGUCUUGUUUUUACGCUACAGAGAUGGACCCUGGCAACAUAUCCUUGGAUUUAGACACAGACUGAUCUGUCUAGAGGGAACUGGAACCUGUACAGUAGUAGUGUAUACUCUGAAGGGUGCCUAGAUAGGAAAGGGCAGGGAAAGCGGAAGGCGACAUUCCUCCUACAUGGAAUGCAGAGAUUUCUUAGAUUACAGGGAAAGUUUAGAGACAAAUCCAAAUAUUCACGACCCACUCCCCUUUCCACAUGUUCAGGGAUUGCGACCCAGUUUCCUCAUCGAUGGGGCCUUCCGAUUCAAACGUCCUUUUCGAUCAGGUAUUGAACUCAAAGGGCCAAAUCGCGGGGAUGGGGAGCAAAAUCAGUCAAUAGUAAAGAGAAAUGGUUCCUCUGCAUGUUCUGUAACAAAGGUUUCAGCUGCCCCCAGAAGGUGGAGAUCCACCAGAGGGUGGAUUCUCUCGACAGCACCAGCUGAACAUGCACAUGAAGAUCCACAGGGGAGAGAAGCCAUUUGCCUGUACACACUGCAGGAAGAGGUUCUCAGAGAAGAGCUACCUAAGGACACACCAGCAGAAAACAAUCCCAUUCUAGAACAUAGAAAGAAACCAUUCCACUCGAUAGCUUCUCACAUUUAGAUCAAACCCUGCAUUAAAGACAAAGAUGAAUUGUGAUUGUUGUCAGCAGAAAACAUCCACAGAUGCAUUUGGAAUUAUGAGAGUAAAAUAUUUCAGUGUUGAAUAUUCCUGAGUAAAAUAUUGCAUCCAGACACUGUGUGAUAUAUAAGACAUACAGUGCCUUCAGAAAGUAUUCACACCCCUUGACUUUUUCCACAUUUUGUUGUUACAGCCUGAUUUUAA